GAUGAACGCUGGCGGCGUGCCUAAUACAUGCAAGUCGAGCGAACAGACGAGGAGCUUGCUCCUCUGACGUUAGCGGCGGACGGGCGAGUAACACGUGGAUAACCUACCUAUAAGACUGGGAUAACUUCGGGAAACCGGAGCUAAUACCGGAUAAUAUAUUGAACCGCAUGGUUCAAUAGUGAAAGACGGUUUUGCUGUCACUUAUAGAUGGAUCCGCGCCGCAUUAGCUAGUUGGUAAGGUAACGGCUUACCAAGGCAACGAUGCGUAGCCGACCUGAGAGGGUGAUCGGCCACACUGGAACUGAGACACGGUCCAGACUCCUACGGGAGGCAGCAGUAGGGAAUCUUCCGCAAAGGGCGAAAGCCUGACGGAGCAAUGCCGCGUGAGUGAUGAAGGUCUUCGGAUCGUAAAACUCUGUUAUUAGGGAAGAACAAAUGUGUAAGUAACUAUGCACGUCUUGACGGUACCUAAUCAGAAAGCCACGGCUAACUACGUG
rnacentral:rRNA from 1 species